GCAUACGCCUUCGGGGGAAAGUAGGGGAUCUUCGGACCUUACGCUAUCAGAUGAGCCCGCGUCGGAUUAGCUUGUUGGUGAGGUAAAGGCUCACCAAGGCGAUGAUCCGUAGCUGGUCUGAGAGGAUGAUCAGCCACACUGGGACUGAGACACGGCCCAGACUCCUACGGGAGGCAGCAGUGGGGAAUAUUGGACAAUGGGGGCAACCCUGAUCCAGCCAUGCCGCGUGUGUGAAGAAGGCCUUCGGGUUGUAAAGCACUUUCAGAUGUGAGGAAAGGUGUGUGGUUAA
rnacentral:rRNA from 1 species